AACUUCGGCGAGGGUCUUGGCGGUCUGGUCGGUUUAUAGUUCCUACUGGCCUGCUAAGUCCCAAGCCGCGGU
rnacentral:pre_miRNA from 1 species